rnacentral:rRNA from 1 species
CUCCAGACUCCUACGGGAGGCAGCAGUGAGGAAUAUUGGUCAAUGGCCGAGAGGCUGAACCAGCCAAGUCGCGUGAGGGAUGACGGCCCUACGGGUUGUAAACCUCUUUUGUCGGGGAGCAAAGAGAGUCACGUGUGGCUCAUUGAGAGUACCCGGAGAAAAAGCAUCGGCUAACUCCGUGCCAGCAGCCGCGGUAAUACGGAGGAUGCGAGCGUUAUCCGGAUUUAUUGGGUUUAAAGGGUGCGUAGGCGGGAUGCCAAGUCAGCGGUAAAAAUGCGGUGCUCAACGCCGUCGAGCCGUUGAAACUGGCGUUCUUGAGUGGGCGAGAAGUAUGCGGAAUGCGUGGUGUAGCGGUGAAAUGCAUAGAUAUCACGCAGAACUCCGAUUGCGAAGGCAGCAUACCGGCGCCCUACUGACGCUGAGGCACGAAAGCGUGGGUAUCGAACAGGAUUAGAUACCCCUGUA